rnacentral:lncRNA from 1 species
AAAAAAUAUAUUUUUUAAGGAAAAACAUGCAAAAAAGAGCAAGUGAAGUUAAAGGGUUUUGUCAUAUAUGCCAUACAGUAUAUGUUGCCUUUUAAUGUCACUGUUUUUACAUGUCUAUGCAGCACGAUGAGAAGCCAUACUGCACUAACUGCUACAUGAGAGAUUUUGGACCCAGAGGUAGCCGAAAACCUGUUGCUCGAACAGCUUCUUAAGAGGGGUCUUGCAGUCUUGAGAAACACACUGGAUCUGCUUUUUCUCUUACAGUAUCUGCUUUACACUGCCACACACAGCAAACCACUGUUAAAUACUGCCAAGUUGAUCUCUCCUUACCACAGAAUAAAAUACAACUCCACCCUUAUGAUUCCAUUCAGCAUAAAUGACCAGAAUCAACAGCCAUCCACGUUGGCAUUCUCUCAGGGAAAUGCUCUACUUUGUGUGUUUAAAUCUUUUGCCUUGAUUUCACAGUUAAGGCACCUAAAUAUUGUACGUUAUUUUUUUAAUUGAGUUGUAUCUUAUUCUUUAGAACGGGAGAUGAGAAAAUAUCAAACUGUAUGGUGAAACGAAUGUUGGUGUAGGAAGGCUGUUAUGUACAAGCAUCGUGUGUUUUUGAUUUCAAGACUCUGUAUACCAUUAAUUAAUUGAUUAACUUGAAACACAAUGUAAUUUUUUUCUGUUCUAUUAUUGUUUGUUCUUUUCUGGGAUUUUGUGGAUCAGAGGCUAUAAAACAAAGAGUUUCUUAACCAGGCAGCAAAAGUAUCUACAAAGCAAAAAUGACAAUAAUUAAUCAUUGUGUCUUUUUAAUUAGAAGCAGAAGCUUGCACCCCAACCCUCAUGGCUUUAUCAGUUUUGUUAAUUCAGGAAGAAUACAUAUUUGAUUUUAUCUGUUUUUUUCUCAUUAGUUCAUUGAAAAGAAGUGUCACUCAGAGCUGCCAACUAGCGUAUUGUCAACUCAUUGAAUCAGAAGAAUAAUUUCAUAUUUCUUAUCCUCAAAUCCAUAAAAUAAACUGUAAAAAUAAUAAUGCAAUAAUUACUAUGAAUUUUAUGGAACACUUUCUUUUCUGUUGAAAAUUGCAUUUGAAUAAUUGAAGAUUUGUACCUCAAAAUGUAACUGCCUA